rnacentral:rRNA from 1 species
AUGGCAAGCAUAGCGCUCCUGCUCACGGUUUGCUUCUUGGGCUUUUACGUGCCCGUCCCUUCCCUGGCGUCCUCCUCCCACAACCACAACGACUUCCUCCGGUGCCUCUCCACGAGCCUCCCCAGCCAGCUCGUGCUCACGCCGAGCUCGCCGUCCUUCACGCCGCUCCUGGUGUCGUCCAUCAGGAACGCCAGGUUGGUGGCGCCGGCGACGGCGAAUCCUCCGCUGUGCAUCGUGACGCCCACAAACGCAUCGCACGUCCAGGCGGCCGUGCGCUGCGGGCGCCGCCACAGCGUGCGCGUCCGCGUGCGCAGCGGCGGGCACGACAACGAGGGCCUCUCGUACCGGUCGAUCACCCCCAACAGCGAGGCGUUCGCCGUGAUCGACCUCGCCAAGCUCCACGCCGUCCGCGUCAACCCGCACGAGGCCACCGCGUGGGUCGAGACCGGGGCGACCACCGGAGAGCUCUACUACCGCAUCGCCACGGCCGCGCCAGGGCUGGGCUUCCCGGCUAGCGUGUGCCCGACCGUGGGAGUGGGAGUGGGGGGCAUCAUCAGCGGCGGCGGCAUAGGCCUCAUGAUGCGCAAGUAUGGACUCUCGGCCGACAACGUCCUCGACGCCACCAUGGUCGACGCCGACGGGAACCUGCUGGCGAACAAGAAGGCCAUGGGGGACGACCUCUUCUGGGCCAUCCGCGGCGGCGGCGGCGGGAACUUCGGCAUCGUGCUGGCGUGGAAGCUAAGGCUUGUACCGGUCCCACCGAAGGUGACCUUCCUCAAAAUCGCCAAGACCAUGGAGCAGGGCGCCGUCGACGCGGUGACCAAAUGGCAAACGCUCGCACCGGCGCUCCCCGACGACCUCAGCGUACGUGUCGUCAUCCAGAAGAGCCAGGCCAACUUCCAGUCCCUGUACCUCGGCAACUGCAGCACGGUGGUGGCGACGAUGCGCAGCCGGUUCCCGGAGCUCGGGGUGACGAGCGCCGACUGCAAGGAGAUGAGCUGGCUGCAGUACACGGCGUACAUAUACUUCGGCGACGCCAUCAACAGCAAGCCGCUGGAGGCGCUCCUCCUCAACCGGUCCACGACCCUGGGCCCCUUCGUCAAGAACAAGUCGGACUACGUCAAGAAAGCCCUCACCAAGGAGACCUGGAAGAAGAUCUUCCUCUGGCCCAACGGCGGCGGGUCGGGGCAGCUCAUCCUCGAGCCGCACGGCGGAGCAAUGGGCAGGAUCGCUGCCGACAAGAUCCCGUUCCCGCACCGUAGCGGUGUGCUCUACAACAUCCAGUACGUGGAGCUAUGGAACGGCAAACAGGCCGGGGGCGACGUUACGCCUACGCCUAACUGGAUCGGGGGCCUGUAUGACUUGAUGACACCGUACGUGAGCAAGAGCCCGAGGGGCGCGUACGUCAACUACCGAGACCUUGACAUGGGCGUGAACAAGGUGGUCGGCGGGGUCACAUGCUACCAAACUGCCAAGGUGUGGGGCAAGAGGUAUUUCGGCCCAGCAAACUUUAGGAGGCUCGCCAAGAUCAAGCGCAAGGUUGACCGCACCGACUACUUCCGCAACGAGCAGAGCAUACCGCCACUUCCCUUGAACUAG